rnacentral:misc_RNA from 1 species
AGGAGGAGGAGGAGGAGGAGGGAGUCCAGGUGCUAAAUAAGAAGAAUGCUGUAAUCCUUGUGGAUUUGGUGGUGCAGUUGUAUAUACAUGUGGCAACCAGGCACUUCCGUGAACUGCUGGCGGUGGAGGCAAAUAAGGUUGACCUGUGUUGGGCAACCCAGGUGGAACUUGCCUAACUGCAAGAUGUGGGACCAUUGGACCAUGCUGAUAUAAAGGCAGGCCAGGUUGACCAGGGCGAGGUAGAACUUGA